UACGUAGGGGGCAAGCGUGGUCCGGAAUCAUUGGGCGUAAAGCGCGUGUAGGCGGUUCGGUAAGUCCGCUGUGAAAGUCGGGGGCUCAACCCUCGGAUGCCGGUGGAUACUGUCGAGCUUGAGUACGGAAGAGGCGAGUGGAAUUCCUGGUGUAGCGGUGAAAUGCGCAGAUAUCAGGAGGAACACCAAUUGCGAAGGCAGCUCGCUGGGACGUUACUGACGCUGAGACGCGAAAGCGUGGGGAGCAAACAGG
rnacentral:rRNA from 1 species